AGUGAACGCUGGCGGUAGGCCUAACACAUGCAAGUCGAACGGCAGCACAGUAAGAGCUUGCUCUUACGGGUGGCGAGUGGCGGACGGGUGAGGAAUACAUCGGAAUCUACUUUUUCGUGGGGGAUAACGUAGGGAAACUUACGCUAAUACCGCAUACGACCUACGGGUGAAAGCAGGGGAUCUUCGGACCUUGCGCGAUUGAAUGAGCCGAUGUCGGAUUAGCUAGUUGGCGGGGUAAAGGCCCACCAAGGCGACGCUCCGUAGCUGGUCUGAGAGGAUGAUCAGCCACACUGGAACUGAGACACGGUCCAGACUCCUACGGGAGGCAGCAGUGGGGAAUAUUGGACAAUGGGCGCAAGCCUGAUCCAGCCAUACCGCGUGGGUAAAGAAGGCCUUCGGGUUGUAAAGCCCUUUUGUUGGGAAAGAAAAGCAGCAGGUUAAAACCCCGCUGUUCUGACGGUACCCAAAGAAUAAGCACCGGCUAACUUCGUG
rnacentral:rRNA from 1 species